GCCCGCUUAGCUCACCGGUAGAGCGCCUCACUAGUAACGAGGACACGAGGCAAGGUGCCUUCUACUUCUACUAAGUUUAUGAGGAGGCAACUGGUUCGACUCCAGUAGUGGGCA